UGCCAGCCGCCGCGGUAAUACGAGGGGUGCUAGCGUUGUCCGGAAUAACUGGGCGUAAAGGGUCCGUAGGCGUUUAAUUAAGUUGAUUGUUAAAUCCACCGGCUUAACCGGUGAUCUGCAGUCAAAACUGAUAAAAUAGAAUAUGUGAGAGGAAUGUGGAAUUCCUGGUGUAGCGGUGACAUGCGUAGAUAUCAGGAGGAACACCAAUGGCGAAGGCAGCAUUCUGGCACAAUAUUGACGCUGAGGGACGAAAGCGUGGGGAGCGAACAGGAUUAGAUA
rnacentral:rRNA from 1 species